rnacentral:misc_RNA from 1 species
GUCAAAGCAUUGCAACUUUUCAAAUGUGGGAAAGUGCAAAUCUCUUCUUUCUUUUUCAAUAACAGCUAGAUGCUGGAAUUGGAUUCAAACCCUGAGGUUCUUGCUGAAAUUUUACUAUUUUAGACAUUGUGAACCCCAGAUUUUUACUCUAGAAUUCUAUGAUAUAUGGAUUUAAGGAUACUUCUCUAAAGAAUUAUGAUUUUGAUAUAACGUUUACCAUACCUUUAGAUGUGUAUCAAGACUUUGUAGCCAUGUUGAAUCUUUGGCUUCCAUCUAGUGAGAUGAGAUAUUAAGAGCCUGUUUGGCAUUGUUAUUGGAACUGUUGUUGAGAAAAUCAUUUUUUUAAA